rnacentral:lncRNA from 1 species
CUCAGUCAGAGGUCUGAACUGGUCUCUCCAUCCUUUCACAAAGUGGCCACUCUGACUAGUCCACAUACAAAUUCUUGAACUUUGCUAAUGGAAGAAGUGGAAAUCUACUCCUGAGGAAAAUACUGUGCUGAAGCACGCUGGAGGGGGAACUGCAGGGGCAGCAUGUACUGUUGGGAUCUUCUCACUGCUGCCAGAACCAAUGCUAGAUGGCUGCUACCAGGAUGUCUGGGGACCCUGAGGUACAGAUUGGACUUGCCAGGAACUGUAAGUGCUGUUUCGGCCAAGCCUGCUCAGAGUGAUAUGCUGCCAGGCAAGCAUGUGAGCUAUUCAUGGCUACAACAACAAGAUGGAUAAGCCCACUAUUAUUGUCUGUACAGAAAGUGAAGGGCAAGGAAUGUCUACUUGCAGAAGAAAAUGCGGGAAUGUUGUUGGAUUUUUUUCCCCAAGUUGGAUUCAGUGCAUAUCGUUUGGCUAAAGCUCAAUACAGACUAUGCAGAAAGCUGCUGUAUUCAUCCACUACCUUGCUGGAGCCUGGAUUUUCAUAGCAGCCUGCUGCCAGCACUGCUGAGGAGCAGGAUAUUUACUCAGUAUAUUACUUUUAUGCUUGU